rnacentral:rRNA from 1 species
UACUAGAGUAGCACUCGCAUAUCAAUAAGCGGAGGAAAAGAAACUAACAAGGAUUCCCCUAGUAACGGCGAGUGAAGCGGGAAGAGCUCAAAUUUGAAAUCUUAAAGGGUUUCCCUUUACGAAUUGUAGUUUAAAGAAGUGUUCUCUGUUGAGGUUUUGGUAAAAGUUCUUUGGAAUAGGACAUCAUAGAGGGUGAGAAUCCCGUAUUUGACCUUUACUUUCAACUUUGUGAUACACUUUCAAAGAGUCGGAUUGUUUGGGAAUGCAGUCCAAAAUGGGUGAGUAAAUUUCAUCUAAAGCUAAAUAUUGGCGAGAGACCGAUAGCGAACAAGUACCGUGAGGGAAAGAUGAAAAGAACUUUGAAAAGAGAGUUAAACAGUACGUGAAAUUGUCAAAAGGGAAGCGUUUGACACCAGUGUUGUUUUUCUGAAAAUCAAUUAAAGAACUGUUUAUGCUAAGUUGUUUAGACUUUAUCAGCUAUCUGCUUAGUUUUGAGCUUUUCUUUAAUGCACUUUUCAGUUAACAAGUCAACAUCAAUUUCUUUUGCUGUAAAAAAGCUUGAGGAAGGUGGCUUGAGAUUCGUCUUAAGUGUUUAUAGCCUCUUGCCUAUGCAGUCGGAGAGAUUGAGGUCUGCAGCGUAGAUCCUUCGGGGCUAAAUGCAUUUGUGCUAAGUUAUAGCAUUUUAUAGACAACUUGUUGACUAUGAUUUGUCUUGUAGCUUACUCGCUUAUGUUAUUUUACCUACGCUUAGGAUGUUGAACUCUAUCACACACAG